rfam:Punica granatum cultivar Dabenzi scaffold601, whole genome shotgun sequence.
CAUUGAACAUGAUGAAAGUAAUGUGUGGGUGAUGAUCUUCAAUUCAUGUGAUGAAACAUAUCUACUCGCUACGUUCUUUCUGAUUCGCAA